rnacentral:rRNA from 1 species
CACGUAGGGGGCAAGCGUUGUCCGGAUUUAUUGGGCGUAAAGAGCUCGUAGGCGGUUCGGUAAGUCGGGUGUGAAACCUCCAGGCUCAACCUGGAGACGCCACCUGAUACUGCUGUGACUCGAGUCCGGUAGGGGAGCGUGGAAUUCCUGGUGUAGCGGUGAAAUGCGCAGCUAUCAGGAGGAACACCAGCGGCGAAGGCGGCGCUCUGGGCCGGAACUGACGCUGAGGAGCGAAAGCGUGGGUAGCAAACAGG